rnacentral:rRNA from 1 species
CCCUUAGACGUUCUGGGCCGCACGCGCGCUACACUGACCAGUGCAACAAGCAUCCGUCCUUGGCCGACAGGCCCGGGCAAUCUUUGAACGCUGGUCGUGAUGGGGAUAGACUUUUGCAAUUUUUGGUCUUCAACGAGGAAUUCCUAGUCAACGCAAGUCAUCAACUUGCAUUGAUUACGUCCCUGCCCUUUGUACACACCGCCCGUCGCACCUACCGAUUGAAUGGUCCGGUGAAGCCUCCGGAUUGGCGCGCACCUCGGUGCCGCCGAGAAGUUGGCUAAACCUUACCAUUUAGAGGAAGGUGAAGUCGUAACA